rnacentral:lncRNA from 1 species
UUUCACUGUGCUAUGUUUUGAUAUAGGAUUUGUUUUUACUUGUCCUGUUUUGAAUUCAUCAGGUUUACUCCAUCUGAAGAAACAUCAGCUGGGCUCCUGUGUCUUCUGGCUUAUGGAUGGGUUCGGUCAAUGGGAGGCACUGGCAGGUGGCUGGAGGGCAAGCGGAAGGAAGAAGCUGGAGUAUUUCUCUGCCCUACCUUCUCGGCUUUGAGUACAGGCAGUCUCACCAUUCCUGGCAUCCAUAAGGAUCAGCGAGAGCCGGUGAUGAUGACAGUGGGCUACCACCACCGCUACAACCCAACAACUUCAAUUCUACUCACAAGCUCUAUCAAGGAAUGGUCUCUACUGCUCUCCUAAGUUCAGAACCAGUCCUAGUGGUAACCCUGGCAGGCAUAUGAGAAGAGGAAGCAACUACCUGAAUCAGCUGACCGACUUAUUUACACCAACCAGCAACUGGGUCAGUGGGAGCAACAACAGAUGAUUCUCCCCUCGCUGCACAAUGGAAUCACCUAGAAAGCUUUAAAAACUACUGACACCUGAGUUCCACUCCCAGGGACUUUCAUUUUAAUUGGUCUGGGAUACAACCUGGACAUUGGGACUUUCUUAACUUUCUUGGGUUAUGCUAAUAUGAAGCCUAGAUUAAGAACCAUUGCUUUUGUACCUUUAUGCACCUCACAACAAACAGACUGCACUCAAGUUAGCAAGUGGGCUUUUAUGGCUAUUUAGAAUGGCCAGAGAAUACCUUCCUUUUAUCAGAGGAUGAGUAAAAACUACUGCACAUGUCAAUACUUUUACAAGCAAUGUACUCUUAGCGGUCAACAGUUUAUAUAAAAAUGUCCAGAUAUCAGUGCCCGAUGCUGUGGUUUUUGACUUUUCAGACAGAAAUGAACUGCCUACAUUCUAGUUCAUGGUAACAGUCAGACUCUAGUCAGGGAAAUGGACCCAUGAUAUAGCAAAAGGAAUUUAAUGUGGACAUUAGUUUAAAAGUGUUGGAAGAGCUGAAAGGCAAAACAAGUUUGGCAGGCAACCCAGAGAUGGGACAAAAAGAGGCUCCAUACUACCCAUAGAACUGGAGGGAAAAAGGUAAGAAACAUUUUUUACAAGCGUGCAAGGGUCUGGGCUGCCUUUGGGAGCUGGGCCUUAGAGGGAGCAGCUGCUCAACAGGAGCUGGAACCAUAGACAUGUAGCCACUGCUGGGGAUGCUUUUUAAAGCUGACAUAAGGAGAGGAAGAAACCCUGGCUUCUCCCUCCACUUGCUCUCCAAUCUCCCAUCUGUGCCUCCCAUUGGCUGAAGGCAAUAGGAAGCCAGUUGGCAAGAGAUCCUGGGAUGCAUCAUCUGUGGGCUUUUCCACCCUGAAAAACAUGGCAGUGCUGGAGGUUGGGGAUGGACCAGAAAGCAAACAGGCAAAUGACCAGGGCUUAGAUGCUGAACUGGAUACAUCCUAGAUUCUGGCUGUAGAUACCUUCCAUAUCUGCAGCUAAGUAUAUGUGGGAUAGAAUACAAAGCAACUGGAAAAUUCUGAGAGUUUUCCUCUUUUUAUUCUGUGUGGAUAGGAAAAAUUAUUCUGGAGAUAUAUAAUAGUAACUGUUCUGACAUUACCAAUGCCUCAGCUGAGAAGUUCAUACUUGGAGAAUAUGUUCCAAUAUAAAGGUCUGAAAAAUCUCUUUGACGUGCAUCAAGGAAAGAACAGAUGCAGAUUACACAGAAGAGGAAACUUUGGAUAGGUAUAGUCUCAAUGUGCAGAAUUUGACUGAUAUUGAACAGUUAGUGGUAGUGUAACAGCUGCAUUGAGGGUGCUAUUUUCAGAUAAGUAGUAAGUCUCAUUUCCACAAGCCAAUUUGCAAGAGUAAAAUUUAGAAGGAUCACUUUUUCCCCCCACUCAAAAACUACCUUGGCUAAAAGUACUGAAAAACAGUUAAGGGUGGAGUUGUCUUUGUGCAAACCUGCCCGAGGGGGUCAUAUGGGCUUCAACUCCAGGACUAACUUUCUACCUACUGAUGGUCAUACUAUUGUUUAGAAGGAUCUUGCUUAUUCCAAAGCAGCACACUUGGUUAAGACAGAUGAGUCUGGUCCCAGAUGGACCAUCUGGCUGGAACACCGACGAGAGAUACGCCUUGAUGAAUUUGGAUGACGUCAUAGAUGCAGAUCCAGCAACUGUAUCAUUUUCCUAAGGAAGCAUUAAUCUGAGUCAGGUGGAAAGACAAACUAUUUUAUUAUCUCUCCCUUGAGCUGUAAGAAGAUUAGAAAGAAUAAGAUAACUCCAGGAGGAUUAUAAUUUAGUCUUAGUUGUCUAGUCAUGACUCUUGUGAUUGAGAUGACUGUUACAGUGGAUUAAACUCAAUUAUUUUAGUGUUUUGUAUUUCUUUUUCAAAAUGAGAUUUCUCCAGAACUUGGUGGUUUGACUUCCUGAAGGCCCAUCUUGUAAGGUUCAGGGAGCCUGCUCCAGUGGGCAGCAGAAGAGAGGCUACAAGUUGAAGAAUGAUCAGGAUAACACUUUAGGCAGUAGUCUGCUCUGAAAAUACAAGGCAUAGAACAAUACUUGCUCUGGAAAAACUCACUAUCGGCCAACCAGUAACCAUGACCAUGACCGUAUUUGUGAAUCAGGGUGGUUGGCUGUUGAGGCAAUACUUCUAGACUGGGAGUAACUUUUGGAGGACCUGGUCUUAGAGGACAUACUAACAACACAGGAGAAUACAGUAAGUACAAUCAAGGCAGUAAAAGUCCUAACAUCAAGAUGAACAUGGCCUGCUCCCAAUUUAUUCCACAUACAGAAUUUAUUUGGCCUCCACCUCUGUGUAGUUCCAGAAUGCAUUUUUCUACUGAUUAUUCAGUUUCAAAAAAUCCAGAGCUUUAAACGAUUAGGUUAGUCAGAAAAUAUGUCAAUCCUUUAACAGCAUCUCCUGGGGCACACGGUAUUUCCUUCAACUCCUGGCUUCCAAGAAGAGAUGGAGUCCUUGCCUUGACAAGUUGAUUUUCUUUGCCUAGGCUCAACCAAUAGUCAUGAUAGGUAGAGGCACAAUGUGAAUUGUGUUUCGUUGACAGGGUUAUUAUGUCCACUGAAGACUUGAAGGGUUGUUUGCUAGUACAAGAACUUUCUUGCAUGGAGUAUGUAUCUAAGUUUUGCAUCCUAAACACUGUAUGGUGUGUGAAUCUCCAGAAAUGCCUGAUAUGGUCCAACAUAGUAAAUAUCCAACAGCAUUUUUCAUUGGUUCUCCUAGUUGUUGUGACCCUUAUUUUCUUGAAGGCAAAAGGUAAGCUUUUAGAAUAUUUAAAUUUUAUGUUGCUAAAGACUUUAGUUAAUUGAUUCAUGAAAAUUCCCUUUCAUCUCUUACCUACUCCUGCACUUUGGGGAGUAACAAGGACAGGGCCAGAGUUAUUGUUGUGUGUUAAAGAAUUCACUGAUUUAUUUUACAUCAAGACCUAUGACAUAGAUCCCUUUGUCACAGGCAAUAGAAACAGGCAAUUCACACUGAGGAAUGAAAUCAUUCCGAAGUUUUUCUAUAACUCAACACAAUCAGCUUUCCUGCAAGGAUAGUCUUCUCUUCAUCUAGAAAUUUACAUAUUUAUACAAAACUCAUAGUUGUUUUUAUCUUUGUUCUCUGUUUUGGCUCCAUCCUGGUUUCCAGUGAUAUUUUCCCUAAUUCAGUGUGGAAAUGAGGCUUUUAUAUGUACUUCCUUCUAUAAAUGUGACACUGUAAUAAAAGAGUGGUUUAUUGUCCUUGAUAAUCUCAUUUGGCUCCAGCAUAGUUCUUUGAGAUAAUUCCCUUGCUGGCUGGUUGUAUUCCGAAUGUGCAGACCAUAUUAUGCUUUCCUAAUCUAAAUUAUGCAGAGAACCAGACCCUUCCUUUCC